UAAGCAGGCACAAGUGGUUGCCCCGUUGUUCGAUAACCACGGGGAGGAAAGUCCGAGCUCCACAGGAUGAUGCACCCAGGUAACGCUGGGCCCCGCUGUCAGCGGGAGGAUUAGAGCUACAGUGACGAUACUUGGCGAUCGGUCGGCGACCAAUCGCCUUGGGUGAAACGAGCAAUCUCUGCAUGGAGCAAUGCUAAAUAGGCAGAAACUUCGGUGAUGCUGCGCAUCACCGUGACGAACUGAUCCGGUUCGUUUGAUCUGCGGGUAGGCUGCAAGAGUUCGCGGAGUGAUCCGCGAAGUCAGUUGAAUAACCACUCUUGGCGUUCUGACGAACGCCUUGCACUCAACUCGGCUUAUGUCUGCUGUGACA
rnacentral:RNase_P_RNA from 1 species